GACGAACGCUGGCGGCGGGCCUAACACAUGCAAGUCGAGCGAGAGGCGGACGGGUGAGUAAUGUAUGGGGCUCUGCCCGACAGAGGGGGAUAACUACUGGAAACGGUGGCUAAUACCGCACACUAUCGGAUGAAUCCAUAUGGGUUUAGCUAGUUGGUGGGGUAAAGGCUCACCUAGGCGACGAUCUCUAGCUGGUCGGUGAGGAUGAUAAGCCCCACUGGGACUGAACCACGGCCCGGACUACAACGGGAGGCGUGGGUGGGGAGUGUUGGACAAUGGAAUGAAGGCUGGUCCAGCCAUGCCGCGUAGAUGAAAGAGGCAUUAGGCUUUUAAAGUUAUUUCGGCGGUGAAGCUGUACCCGAAGAAGAAGCACCGGCUAACUCCGUGCCAGCAGCCGCGGUAAUAC
rnacentral:rRNA from 1 species